rnacentral:lncRNA from 1 species
CCCACAUGGCUUUGGCCCUUGGAGAGCUCCAGGCCAUCAGAGAUGGUGCAGGAAUGGGGUAGGAGACAGAGGAAGCCCUGCAGGAAGCCAGCAAAAACCUCACCUACCUUGAGAACUCAGCAAUGCCGGAAGAGAUUGAGAUUCCUAGAGAAUGGAGGAGCCGGGAACAAAGGAGAAGGAUGGGAUCCAGGAACAGGCCAAGAGAACCAGCUCGAUGCUUCUUCCUCUCCCUUCUAGAAAAUUCUGUUCAGAAGCCAUUAGGCUUCAGGCUCGAGACAGAGAGGAACCGCCUCUGUGUUUUUCACUGUCGUGUCUCAGUGCUGGGAGUGUACUCCAUGUGGUCAGUGUGUGAUCAAUUUAACUGUGCCUGAGGGUUCUGAGAAGACCUCACAAAUGAAGGUACCUUUGACCAGAGCCACGGAGAGGGGACAAGAGUUUACCCACCAGGCGCUGCAAAGCUGAGGUGGCAGGUCAGGACUUCCAGUGAGAAGGAGGUACUGGUAAAGGAGACUGUUAUUAUGAGCAGCUCCGUCCAGGAGAAGCCAGGGUUCCUGGUCCAAAACAGCACCCUAGGUUCAAAUAGGAAUACCCUGGGGUUGGAGGUGAGGGAAGGGUGGUGGACAGCUCACUCAGCUAUCAGAAGCUGAGGGAUAAGUCCCCUUCCUCCAAUCUGGGCUUUCUUAGCAGCCUUUUGAGCUGGAAUUUGUUUUGUUUUGUUUUGUUUAUGGUGGGACCUACCCACUGUGCAGGGAGGAUCUUAUCAGGUGGCCAAGCUUGUUUUUUGUUUGUUUGUUUUGAGAUGGAGUCUUGCUCUGUUGCCCAAGCUAGAGUACAGUGGUGUGAUCUCGGCUCACUGUAACCUCUGCCUCCUGGGUUCAAGCAAUUCUCCUGCCUUAGCC